UACGUAGGGGCCUAGCGUUGUCCGGAUUUACUGGGCGUAAAGAGCGCGCAGGCGGUCGUAUAAGUCGAAUGUGAAAGCCCCUGGCUCAACUAGGGAGAGUCAUUCGAUACUGUUCGACUCGAAGGCAGGAGAGGGAAGUGGAAUUCCGGGUGUAGUGGUGAAAUGCGUAGAUAUCCGGAGGAACACCAGUGGCGAAGGCGACUUUCUGGCCUGUUCUUGACGCUGAGGCGCGAAAGCUAGGGGAGCAAACGGG
rnacentral:rRNA from 1 species